rnacentral:misc_RNA from 1 species
AGAACGCGCUGCCGACGUGAGCACAACACGCACAUUGAAGCGCUGUGUGACUGGCGAAAGUCUGUUCUUUUUCUCUCCCACUCCCUUUCCCGUCUUUCUCAAACGCGCGCGCACAUCUGCCGAGUGUCGCAACCGUCAGCAUCACUGCCGUCGUUGAAGCGAUCUCUUUGAUUUCGUUUAGUUUGCUGUUUUACUUUUAUUUUUCCGCGUUUCUGCGCUCCAUUCCAAGUGCGCUGCCGUGCAGGAUUGUAUCCCCCCCCCUCCUCCACGAAGCGUGCCUCUGCUCGCCCACCCAUCCCAAGCUGUCCCUCGACUCCUUGCGAGUUUGUAAACGCACACUCUCGUCGCACAAGCGCACAUACAUACACACAGGGGUGCAGGUACAAGAUGGACCCCUCGGCCUUCGGAAUGAUGGCUGGCCGCGGCAUGGGCCGCCAGACUGAGGUGCGCGAUGCCCGCGACACUGCGGAGACGAUUCAGAUUUCGUCCAUCGCACUGCUGAAGAUGCUCAUUCACGGUCGCGCCGGCGUGCCGCUGGAGGUGAUGGGCCUCAUGAUUGGCGAGGAGAUCGACGACUACACAAUUCGUGUGGCGGAUGUCUUCUCGAUGCCGCAGACCGCCACGGGUCAGUCCGUCGAGGCGGUCGACCCGGAGUACCAGGUGCACAUGCUGGACAAGCUGAAACUGGUCGGUCGUCACGAGAACGUCGUGGGGUGGUACCACAGCCAUCCCGGAUUCGGCUGCUGGCUGUCCUCGGAGGAUGUGAUGACAGCCGCCGGCUACGAGAAUCUGACCCCGCGCAGCGUGUCGGUCGUGGUGGACCCCAUCCAGUCUGUGCGCGGCAAGGUGGUGAUUGACGCCUUCCGCACUAUCCCCCAGGAAAUUAUGGCUAUGCGGGCGAUGGGUGAGUACGUGGAACCGCGUCAGGUGACGUCGAACAUCGGAUUUCUGUCCAAGCCGUCGGCUGUGGCCCUCUCCCACAAUCUCAACCGCCAGUACUACAACCUACCCGUCACCUUCCGUAAGAAGAAUCACGAGUUGCGGCUGCUGCUGAACGUGUACCGCAAGGGCUGGCAGGAGGGCUUCAAGUUGGAGAAGGCGAAGGUGUACCAGCGGGAGACCCGCACGAGCAUUCGCGAGCUCAUCUCCCUCUCAAAGCAGGCGGAGAAGUACAUAACGCAAGGACGCGACGAGGACGAUCUCGGCAACGUCGGUCAGAUCAACGCCAUGUCUCACCUGCAGAUGGAGGCGGAAAACGUCAUCCACCGCAAUCUUAACCAAUCCAUCGGCGCCAUGAUCAACGCAGUGGUGUUCUGAUAUUUCAUUUUCCCUCUUCUCUUCACCUUCUCUUGGACUUCUUUCUUUCCUGUUGCUGUCGUUGCGUCCUUGCGCGACGGGCUGCAAUGAUUGUCUGUGUGUAUGUGUGUCUGUGCAUACCUGGUACCUUGUGGAGCCAAGUAUAUCUCUGUGAGUGUGAGUGUGCGUAUAGGGCGACGUCUACUGCCGAUGUGUGUGAGAGCAUGCGGUCCGCUUUUUUCUUGUCUGUGUGCGAAAUGCAAAGGAGAAAAAUUAUAUGCAUAUAUAGACUUGAGCUUGUCAUGAGGUCACCAAUGACCCUCAACAUACGUGACAGCGAGUGCGACCAUAAUGG